rnacentral:lncRNA from 1 species
UAUGUAAAUGAGACUUGAUUGUUCAUAAAAUAUAUUAUUCCUCCAAAUUUAAGGACAUGGCCUACAAAUUGGAAUUUGGUUCACAACAACAAUGGAAAAUUUGAUAAGUAUACAUAUCGUUGUCUUCAUAGCAUACUGGGUGAUAAUAAGGGCCAUGAAAUUUGCAACUUUUAUCACAGAAAGCGUAGCAGGCUUUUCUUGUUGUGAAAUCUCUCAAACAAAAUCUUGGAUGUUCACUAUCACACGUACCUACAAUCAUUGUAUAUGAAAUAUUCAUUAAAAGAUAAGAAUGUAAACGUACAAAGAAUAGUAUGAGUAAACUAAAUAUUGAAAUCUUGUAUCUUUGUUUUAUUAUUUGUUUACAUACCAUGAAAGAAAAGAAGAAAUCCAACAAGGAUUGCAAAGACAAAUUUCAGCUGAGCCAUGGAAGUGUGUGCCGUAGUCAUUCUUGUGUAGACUUCUUUUUUAUAGUAGAAUUGAUUUGUGACAAGUGAAAUGGCCUAGUUUAUAUAAUCCAUAUUCU